rnacentral:lncRNA from 1 species
CUCUUUGGGCAUAAGGUCUAGGGUAGGUUCUAGGGUUUUUCAGCUCUAGAUUUUUGUGUGAGAAAAAUUCAAGAGGGUUUUGAUCCAAUCUUCCACACCAUCUCCUCCUUGUAAAGAUCUAUCUUCUAAUUCAAAAAAAUUUAGGUGAUCCAAAGAAAGAAGCUUGAAUCAGCCAUCCAGAUCUUUUGACAAGAGCUAGCACUCCCGGGA